rnacentral:pre_miRNA from 1 species
AGCUUUUUGAAUUCGUGUAGAGAUUUUGUCAGACAUUAACCCAUUAGAGCUUACCAGACUUCCAAGAUAAGUGAAGUU